rnacentral:rRNA from 1 species
AUUGAACGCUGGCGGCAUGCCUUACACAUGCAAGUCGAACGGCAGCGGGGGAGAAGCUUGCUUUUCCUGCCGGCGAGUGGCGAACGGGUGAGUAAUACAUCGGAACGUGCCCUGUAGUGGGGGAUAACUAGUCGAAAGAUUAGCUAAUACCGCAUACGACCUGAGGGUGAAAGUGGGGGACCGCAAGGCCUCAUGCUAUAGGAGCGGCCGAUGUCUGAUUAGCUAGUUGGUGGGGUAAAGGCCUACCAAGGCGACGAUCAGGAGCUGGUCUGAGAGGGAGGACAGCCAGACGGGGACAGAGACCCGGCCGAGACACCUACGGGAGGCAGCAGUGGGGAAUUUUGGACAAGGGGGGAAAGCCUGAUCCAGCAAUGCCGCGUGUGUGAAGAAGGCCUUCGGGUUGUAAAGCACUUUUGUCCGGAAAGAAAUGGCGCUGGUUAAUACCUGGGGUCGAUGACGGUACCGGAAGAAUAAGGACCGGCUAACUACGUGCCAGCAGCCGCCGUAA